rnacentral:lncRNA from 1 species
UCCAAUCAAUAACACAUUCGGAUUGUAAAUCAUCCAUAAACAAUACAAAUUUCUAAACAAUAACACAUCCAAUAAUAUAAAUCCAUAAAUGUCAAUAUUUCAAUUAAUAAAACAACCACAAAUAUUUCUACAUAAUUUUCUAUGAAACCUGCAAACAUCGGGCUUGAUGUCUUGAAAGCGACGACCUUCUUGGCUUGCAUGAUGUCACAAAGCGGAAAUAAUUAGCACGUUAAUCCAAGGUAAAGCCCUUGUUUGGUUGCAAAGGAAAUGAAGGAAGAUCCAUGGAUUAGUUAAAGAUUAAUCCAGUCAUUUGGUCUCCUGCGGCAAAAUCGAAGAUGUAAACGAAUGGAGUUUAAGAGAGACAGAGAGCGGGGCAAACCGAAUAAAGGAGCGGUGUUGAGGUCGAACCCGAGCUUGCGACGGCAGCAGCCUGGACCGAUGAUGAUGAAUAGGCACUUUUCCUGCAGUAGCCAGCAGGCGACAGCUGCGAUAUGAGGAAGAUGAAUAGAUAAAAUUAGUUUUUGUUGUUGUUGUUGUUUGUAUUUAUAUUAGUUAAUAAAUAUAAUUAAAAAAUAAUAUUAAAAUAAGAUAUUCGAGUUUCAGAUAUACGGGUUAACUCAAACCCGGAAUCGGACCCGGAUAUAUCCGGGUCACUAAAAUUCAUUCCGAUACGGGUUCAACCCGACUCAAAUUUUUUGGGUUCGUCUGGGUCCGGGUUAAAUUGCCAUCCCUAAGAAGG